GUCUUCGUGGUGUAGUGGUCAGCACACUCGGCUCGUAUUCGAGAGGUCCAUGGUUCGAGUCCGGAGAGGGCA
rnacentral:tRNA from 1 species